AAAAAAAAAGCCACCAGCGCCUCGCACGAGCACGACCCUGCCCCUCGAUCCCAUCUACACCUCCUUCCCGCCGCCACCUCCUGCCCCGCGCCGCCCGCCCCACACCGCCUCGAUCGGGACCGCGUCCCUCCCCAAACGACGGCAAUGAUGGAGGGCGCCGCCCAGCUCCUGGCCGACGGAUUCGCUGGCUCCCCGCACCUCGGGGCCAGCCCCUCCCCCGUGCCGAGUCGAGCAUCGACUUGGAGGCCCCUUGGGGCUGCCGCCGGUGCGGGAGUCCCACGCGGCCGUGCGGGCUGGGGACCGAUUGGCGGGGCCCGUGGUGCGACGCUCGAUGGAUGGCCUGCACAGCGCGGACGACUGCUUCUCUCCCAGGAGGGCCAUAGGCAGCCACUACAUGUCGGAGCUGUUGCAGGAGCACCAGAAGCUUGUCCUGUUCACACAGGUGCUACCAAUCUGCAUCAAACUGUUGGGCCACCGUGAGAGCCUCGAUUCGCUCCCUCGCCGCCGCCCGGUCUACCAUUAUUGGCCUAGGUCUGAUUGCUUAUGUUUCUCUCUUGUUGAUGCAAACUUGCUCUGCUUGACUCUGUUUUGGCCUCAAGGCAUCUCACUUGUCAUGACUCUGUUUUGGCCUCAAGGCAUCUCACUUGUCACAUAUUGUUAUCAACUCAGAGAAGAAAAAGGUUCCAUGAGGGUGUCUAUUACAGAACUGGAGAAAGAGCUCGCCUACCAUGCAUGUUGCCUGGUCCGAUGAGCAGUGCUACGCCAAGUGCCCUGUCAGAGUGCAGCCGCACAACGCUGCCUGCUGUUGAGGACCCCGGAGCCUAGACAGUUAGCUCGGCAACUUCCAGCCCCCCACCGUCUUUCUUGACAGCCACGACACCCAUCUUUUCGUCUAUGCCUCAUUGGAUGCACUUCCAUUGUAUGUAAUGUUAGAUAUACACAAUCAUAGAUACAUAUAUGAUCUUCCACCUCGGCUCCUAUACUGAUAAGAUUUGUGUUGAUACAUGAUUCUCAACAAAGUGUGCUACCAAACUUUUUCACGAAAAGUGUAGUACCAGUUGGUGUGAUAUCAUGUCCUCAGCAACGCCCCCGAUGGAUCGACCAUGACCAUGUUGUUGCCUGGAAUCUUUUUUCAUGAUGAUGUCGCUAUUCGUCAUCCCACAGUUUAUGCGGUGGAGCGUCAACGACCUCAGCGUGUUGCAGGAGAAGACCAUGAAUAUCGGCAAGAAAGAUGUUGAUCAAGGAAGGUGCAACACUGUGAUGUGAGUUGAACACAAGCAUGGCCUACAAUCUCGACGCCCACCAUCCAUGUGCCUUGCAAGCAGCAAUUGUUCACACCCUUGAUAUUUGUCACUGCCCUCUUCUCAUCUAUCCCGACAGUCUCGGUGUCCAGGCAAGGUAUGUCUAUGUCAGUUGAACUGUCACUCGAGUUACAACAAUUCCAAUCUUUUUUCUAUAUCUGCAAUUGGGUGGACUAUGGUAUGAAUCAGUUUAUAAGCAACCAUGGUGUACAUGAAUCUCUGUUGGUGUGAACUGUCAAAAGCAUUUCCUACUAUUUCUACCUCUGUUUCAUCUUCUAAAUCUAGAGUCUAGACUUGGAUAUUAUCUAGCAACAAUCUGUUCAUGAGAAAAGCAUGGCUAAGAGUCAUACUAGAUGUAUGCAUAAUACCGGGACAAGAUAUUUACCUGCCAUUAUCCCAGAAGGGAAACAUAAUACUAAACUGCCAUAAAAACAUUUGAGGGCUUACAUCAUCGUUGAGGUCAAAUUUGUAUCUUUAUUAUCACCCUAAUAAAACAUGGUUUUGCUAAUUGACUUCAUCUUAUUUCAACUUUGUUAGUUCAGUUCACGUGCUCUGUUAGAGACCAACCCCAAUGUGUAUGCUACAACCACUGAAAGAAGUAUGUUGCCUUGAUGUUUUUAAUUCAGUUAAUUUGUAUUAAUUGUGUGGCAUCAUCAUGCAAGGUAAAUGCAGAGCUAUACUUUCUAUUCUCGUGCCUUCUAUUAAAAUCAUGCAGAAGCUCCGGUCAUCGUUGUUCAUAUGUUUUGACUCUUAUCGAGCCUCUUCUGUGAGGCACAUAGUUUGGGAGUAUGCCUAUGGCAAUUUAUCUAUUUCCAUGAUUGAAGAGACAUUUUUAAAUUGAACAAAACAAAUUAUAUGAGAGGCAUAUGUUUUGUUUUUGCUGUCCCAAACUACAGAGAGCCUUGCAAAUUUCCAGGACUCUGUUUCCUCUUGGAACUCUCCUAACUAUGCAUUCUUGAUCACUGUCGAACAUUGAUCGACAGACUGCUCUGUUUACAAACUCUAUUUUUUCUAGGUUUUCUUGUGAAAAUUGAUGAUACCCCAAUGCAGAGCCUUUUGUAGCCUUGUUGUUGGUGACAGAUUUCAGACGAUAACCUAAAUGUAGGCAUUAAACACAACAAGGUCAGGAUAUGAUAAUGGCCCAAGGUCGUGCCGACAAAUCUGGAAAUACUCUAGAACAAAAUAAUAAUCUGGCAAUGGCCCAAGAGAGCUGUUAGUUCUUGGAUUUUUGUACCCUCAUGCUAAUACUUAACUGUUACUCCCUCCGUAAACUAAUAUAAGAGCGUUUAGAUUACUAUUUUAGUUAUCUAAACACUCUUAUAUUAGUUUACAGAGGGAGUACAAUUUUUAUUGUUCUUCUCAUUAUAUGUACCUAAUAAUGAUUUAGUUCAUUUCUGGAUGCUUGGACUAAGUCACUGCCAACUUUCUGUAACUUACAGCCUUCGCUUCUUAAGGAAUUGGAGCACUACACUCCCAUUUGUUAAUAGUUACACAUGGUGUACGCCUGUAUGAGUACUCAAUGUUGUUGUCUGAUGUCUGUACAUUUGUUUGAGCACCACACGAUCUCAUGAAAGAUUUGUAUUGCUCAUCUUAGUCCAAACUGAUGAUGCUGUGUUUUUUUGUA